UCUGCCUUUGGGACUCGAAGCUGAAGCCUGAACAGUGACAGAUUUGAGAUGCCAGAGAUGGUCAACCCAAAUGGACAACUGAACUGAUCACAAGAUGAAAGGAUCCUAGUUUUGUUUCGGCUUUAAAAAGAUUUUGCACUGGACUGUGGGCGACCCAGCAAGAACAAUAAAUAAAGGUGAUGCUCCUUUGUCUCAACAACUACACAACAGCAGUUGAUGCAUAAUCAAGGGUCUGAAUGAUCUUAAUCCUUCGUUUGAAAACCAAAACAAAUCUGAAUGAUUAGUAGCUUUAUGUUUGAGAAAAGUAAAGCCUAAGGAACCCCUGAUUUUUCUGUCCGAGAACACCACCAUCUUGUUUGUGUACUUGCUCACUUCUCUUCCUCUGGGCGUCAGCUUGAAGGUUGGAACAUUGCUUUUUUUCCAAGCUAAGGUAAGCAGAUGAAAUCCCACAGAGAGAGAGAGAGAGAGAGAGAGAGAGAGAGAGAGAAAUUUACAGUCACAUGCCUGUUUCACAGCCAAAAUAGGGGGGGAAAAAAAAACAUCUUAACUUACUGUAUACAUUACUGCUAAGAUAUCAAUCAGCGAUUAA